rnacentral:tRNA from 1 species
AUUUAAAUAGUUUAAUUAGAAUAAUAAUUUGUGGUAUUAUAGGUGAAUAAAAUUAAUUCUUUAGGUC